GUCAUACUGGGAGGCAGUGGGCCGUCCCAAGCCCAUACUGGGAGGCACUGGGACACCCCUUUUCCUUACUGGGCGACCCCUCAGCCCUACUGGGAGGCACUGGGUGACCCCUCAGCCCUACUGGGAGGCACUGGGAGACCCAUUUUCCUUACUGGGAGACCCCUCAGCCCUACUGGGAGGCACUGGGACACUCCACACCCCUACUGGGAAGCACUGGCAGACCCGUUUUCCUUACUGGUGACCCCUCAGCCCUACUGGGAAGCACUGGGAGAACCGUCAGCCCUACUGGGACGCACUGGGACAACCCUUUUCCUUACUGGGCGACCCCUCAGCCCUACUGGGAGCCACUGGGCGACCCCUCAGCCCUACUGGGAUGCACUGGGACACUCCACACCCCUACUGGGAGUCACUGGGAGACCCGUUUUCCUUACUGGGACACCCCUCAGCCCUACUGGGACACACUGGGAGACCCAUUUUCCUUACUGGGCGACCCCUCACCCCUACUGGGAGUCACUGGGAGACCCGUUUUCCUUACUGAGUGACCCCUCAGCUCUACUGGGAGGCACUGGGACACCCGUUUUCCUUACUGGGAGACCCCUCAGCCCUACUGGGACGCACUGGGACACCCAUUUUCCUUACUGGGAGACCCCUCAGCCCUACUGGGAGUCACUGGGCGACCUGUUUUCCUUACUGGGAGACCCCUCAGCCCUACUGGGAGUCACUGGGCGACCCCUCACCCCUACUGGGAUGCACUGGGAGACCCAUUUUCCUUACUGGGACACCCCUCAGCCCUACUGGGAGUCACUGGGCGACUCCUCAGCCCUACUGGGACCCACUGGGAGACCCCUUUUCCUUACUGGGCGACCCCUCACCCCUACUGGGAGUCACUGGGCGACCCCUCAGCCCUACUGGGAUGCACUGGGACACCAGUUUUCCUUACUGGGUGACCCCUCACCCCUACUGGGAUGCACUGGGAGACCCAUUUUCCUUACUGGGACACCCCUCAUCCCUACUGGGACGCACUGGGACGCCCCUUUUCCUUACUGGGCGACCCCUCACUACUACUGGUAG
rnacentral:lncRNA from 1 species